CACGAGGGUCUCACUGUCUUAAGGAAAUUUCCAGUGAAAUUGAAUUUGUAGUGAAGAUGCUACAUCCAAAUUGUUAGACAAGAAGUCCCCAUGGAACUUUACUGGAGACUUAUGUGGCUUAAAUUAAUUUAUUUCUUUCAAAUAAAUAGUUUUAAAAUGUGGUGUUAACCCCUCGGAUUAACUAGGGUUAUUAAAGCCCACUCUUUUAUUUAAAGAAAGCUAACUCAAAAAUUUAUGUCUUUGGGAUUUGAUAAGUGAGACAGUUUGGUUGGGGCGACCGCCUUUAAAAAAGUAACGAAGGCGGGCUUAAGAUACAUAUUUAGUGAUGUCUGACUGCCAAGGGGAGAUCCUGAGCAGACACUUACUUUUUAGGUGGGUUUAAGUGACCCGUUGAUUUAGGGUGAAAUAGUUAACGAUAAACA
rnacentral:rRNA from 1 species